AUGUGUCAGGGCACACACAAACACCCACACACGCGUGGUCACACGCAGCUCCGUGUCAGGGCACACACACACACACGUGUGGUCCCACACAAUGACACGCGUGUCCCCGCCGCUCUCCUCCUUGUCAGGGCACACACACACACACGCGUGUUCACACGCCAUGACAUGCGUGUCCCUGACUCUUUCCCCCGUCUCAGGGCACACACACACACACACACGCGUGCGCGCGGUCACACACGCAAUGACAUGCGUGUCCCUGACUCUUUCCCCCGUCUCAGGGCACACACAUGGUUCUCACACACACACGUGUGUUCACACACCAUGACACGCGUGUCCCCGACUCUUUCCCCCGUCUCAGGGCACACACGUGGAUCUCACACACACACACACAGGUGGUCACACACCAUGACACACGUGUCCCCACCACUCUCCCCCGUCUCAGGGCACAGACACACACACACACGCGUGUUCACACACAAUGACACACAUGUCCCUGACUCUUUCCCCCGUCUCAGGGCACACACACACACACACACACACACACACCAUGACACGCGUGUCCCCGACUCUUUCCCCCGUCUCAGGGCACACAGACACACACACGCGUGUUCACUCGCCAUGACACGCGUGUCCCCGCCGCUCUCCCCCAUCUCAGGGCACACACACACACACACUUGUUCACACGCCAUGACACGCGUGCCCCUGACUCUUUCUCCCAUCUCAGGGCACACACACACACGCACACGCCAUGACACGCGUGUCCCCGACUCUUUCCCCCGUCUCAGGGCACACACGUGGGUCUCACUUACACACACACACAUGGGUCUCACACACACACACAUGGGUCUCACUUACACACACACACGUGGGUCUCACUUACACGUGGGUCUCACUUACACACGUGGGUCUCACUUUCACACACACGUGGGUCUCACACACACGUGGGUCUCACACACACACACGUGGGUCUUACACACACACACGUGUAUCUCACUUUCACACACGUGGGUCUCACUUUCACACACACGUGGGUCUCACUUUCACACACACGUGGGUCUCACACACACACACACGUGCAUCUCACUUUCACACACGUGGGUCUCACUUUCACACACACACGUGGGUCUCACACACACACACGGGUCUCACUU
rnacentral:lncRNA from 1 species